rnacentral:lncRNA from 10 species
AUUUCCACUACCCCUCAAAAGGAAGGUGUCAAGGCUGCAAGUCAGUUGAGUUCAUUCUUAGAAUUCUGCCUACAACACUCGCACAGAAGAAAUUCCACUUGUGAUGACAGCUUCAGCCCAUGCCCAUGGAGUUCCAUCUUGCCUGUCGUCUUCCCUUCCUGCCUCCCAGUUGGUGAGAACUUUGUCCUGUGCCCACGAUCUUCACUUCCUCACUGUUUUUGGUCUUGGACAUCAGAUCCUAAAUUUGUUCUGAGGAUCCUGUCUUUCUACUUGGUGUUGGUGGUAACAAUUUCAGUGUUCAUGAGGAGAACUGACACAAUGAAUCAGAAGCAAAGAGAGGAAACACAGCCAGUAUAGGAGCAGGAAAGACUGGAGUUUGGUGUGUUUUGAAAAUGACAUCUCAUCUCAGAAUCUACCUGUGACUCUUCAGGUGAUAACUUCAAGAAGUGUUCUUCCUCCUCUUUAAUUUCUCCUCUAAUGAAGUGGGGCCAAAAUUAAUUGCUACAUUUACCUUUCAGAGCAUAGAGCAGCACAAUUCAUUGGCUGUGUAUACAGUUAUUUACCACAAAUAAUAUUGACUGGCUGCCCACUAUUUCAAUGGUUCUGAGUUAGGAGCAAUAUAAAUUGUUUUUAAAAUAUAAAGAAAGC